rnacentral:rRNA from 1 species
UACGUAGGGUGCAAGCGUUGUCCGGAAUUAUUGGGCGUAAAGAGCUCGUAGGCGGUCUGUCGCGUCGGCUGUGAAAACCCGGGGCUCAACCCCGGGCCUGCAGUCGAUACGGGCAGACUAGAGUGCGGUAGGGGAGACUGGAAUUCCUGGUGUAGCGGUGAAAUGCGCAGAUAUCAGGAGGAACACCGGUGGCGAAGGCGGGUCUCUGGGCCGAUACUGACACUGAGAGACGAAAGCUAGGGGAGCAAACAGG